AUUGAACGCUGGCGGCAUGCUUUACACAUGCAAGUCGAACGGUAACAGGCCGCAAGGUUCUGACGAGUGGCGAACGGGUGAGUAAUGCAUCGGAACGUGCCCAUUCGUGGGGGAUAACUACUCGUAAGAGUAGCUAAUACCGCAUACGAUCUAUGGAUGAAAGCGGGGGACCGUAAGUCCUCGCGCGAUUGGAGCGGACGAUGUCAGAUUAGGUAGUUGGUGGGGUAAAGGCUAACCAAGCCAACGAUCUGUAGCUGGUCUGAGAGGACGACCAGCCACACUGGGACUGAGACACGGCCCAGACUCCUACGGGGGGCAGCAGUGGGGAAUUUUGGACAAUGGGCGCAAGCCUGAUCCAGCAAUGCCGCGUGAAGGAAGAAGGCCUUCGGGUUGUAAACUGCUUUUGUACGGAACGAAACGGCUCUGGUUAAUACCCGGGGCUAAUGACGGUACCGUAAGAAUAAGCACCGGCUAACUACGUG
rnacentral:rRNA from 1 species